rnacentral:rRNA from 1 species
UACAGAGGGUGCAAGCGUUAAUCGGAAUUACUGGGCGUAAAGCGUGCGUAGACGGUUAUGUAAGUUAGGUGUGAAAGCCCCGGGCUCAACCUGGGAAUUGCAUUUAAGACUGCAUAGCUAGGGUGCGGAAGAGGGAAGCGGAGUUUCCGGUGUAGCGGUGAAAUGCGUAGAUAUCGGAAGGAACAUCAGUGGCGAAAGCGGCUUCCUGGUCCAGCACCGACGUUCAGGCACGAAAGCGUGGGGAGCAAACAGG